GUCCCCGUAGCUCAAUUGGACAGAGCGUCGGCCUCCGGAGCCGAAGGUUAGAGGUUCGACUCCUCUCGGGGACG
rfam:Phycisphaerae bacterium SM23_33 WORSMTZ_6521, whole genome shotgun sequence.